rnacentral:rRNA from 1 species
CGAAGGUCCCAAGCGUUGUUCGGAAUCACUGGGCGUAAAGGGAGCGUAGGCGGCGUGGUAAGUCAGAUGUGAAAUCCCGGGGCUCAACCCCGGAACUGCAUCCGAUACUGCCAUGCUAGAGGAUUGGAGAGGUAGCUGGAAUUCUUGGUGUAGCAGUGAAAUGCGUGGAGAUCAAGAGGAACACUCGUGGCGAAAGCGAGCUACUGGACAAUAUCUGACGCUGAGGCUCGAAGGCCAGGGUAGCGAAAGGGAUUAGAUACCCCUGUAGUCCUGGCAGUAAACGGUGCACGCUUGGUGUGAGGGGAAUCGACCCCCCUUGUGCCGGAGCUAACGCGUUAAGCGUGCCGCCUGGGAAGUACGGUCGCAAGACUA